GGCCCGUAAUCCGGGUUGCGGACAGUGUCUGGUGGGUAGUUUGACUGGGGCGGUCUCCUCCCAAAGAGUAACGGAGGAGCACGAAGGUUAGCUAAUCCUGGUCGGACAUCAGGAGGUUAGUGCAAUGGCAUAAGCUAGCUUGACUGCGAGCGUGACGGCGCGAGCAGGUGCGAAAGCAGGUCAUAGUGAUCCGGUGGUUCUGAAUGGAAGGGCCAUCGCUCAACGGAUAAAAGGUACUCCGGGGAUAACAGGCUGAUACCGCCCAAGAGUUCAUAUCGACGGCGGUGUUUGGCACCUCGAUGUCGGCUCAUCACAUCCUGGGGCUGAAGUAGGUCCCAAGGGUAUGGCUGUUCGCCAUUUAAAGUGGUACGCGAGCUGGGUUUAGAACGUCGUGAGACAGUUCGGUCCCUAUCUGCCGUGGGCGCUGGAGAAUUGAGGGGGGCUGCUCCUAGUACGAGAGGACCGGAGUGGACGCAUCACUGGUGUUCGGGUUGUCAUGCCAAUGGCACUGCCCGGUAGCUAAAUGCGGAAGAGAUAAGUGCUGAAAGCAUCUAAGCACGAAACUUGCCCCGAGAUGAGUUCUCCCUGAGACUUUAAGUCUCCUGAAGGAACGUUGAAGACGACGACGUUGAUAGGCCGGGUGUGUAAGCGCAGCGAUGCGUUGAGCUAACCGGUACUAAUGAACCGUGAGGCUUAACCUUACAACGCCGAAG
rnacentral:rRNA from 1 species